rnacentral:rRNA from 1 species
GUAAAGCACUUUCAGUCGUGAGGAAGGCGGCGUCGUUAAUAGCGGCGUUGUUUGACGUUAGCGACAGAAGAAGCACCGGCUAACUCCGUGCCAGCAGCCGCGGUAAUACGGAGGGUGCGAGCGUUAAUCGGAAUUACUGGGCGUAAAGCGCAUGCAGGUGGUUUGUUUAAGUCAGAUGUGAAAGACCCGGGGCGUUAACCUCGGAAUAGCAUUUGAAACUAGGCAGACUAGAGUACUGUAGAGGGGGGUAGGAAUUUCAGGUGUAGCGGUGAAAUGCGUAGAGAUCUGAAGGAAUACCGGUGGCGAAGGCGGCCCCCUCGGACAGAUACUGACACUCAGAUGCGAAAGCGUGGGGAGCAAACAGGAUUAGAUACCCUGGUAG